rnacentral:rRNA from 1 species
GACGAACGCUGGCGGCGUGCUUAACACAUGCAAGUCGAACGGAAAGGCCCUGCUUUUGUGGGGUGCUCGAGUGGCGAACGGGUGAGUAACACGUGAGUAACCUGCCCUUGACUUUGGGAUAACUUCAGGAAACUGGGGCUAAUACCGGAUAGGAUCUCCUGCUGCACGGUGGGGGUUGGAAAGUUUCGGCGGUGGGGGAUGGACUCGCGGCUUAUCAGCUUGUUGGUGGGGUAGUGGCUUACCAAGGCUUUGACGGGUAGCCGGCCUGAGAGGGUGACCGGCCACAUUGGGACUGAGAUACGGACCAGACUCCUACGGGAGGCAGCAGUGGGGAGUAUUGCACAGUGGGCGGAAGCCUGAUGCAGCAACGCCGCGUGCGGGAUAACGGCCUUCGAGUUGUAAACCGCUUUCGCCUGUGACGAAGAGUGAGUGACGGUAAUGGGUAAAGAAGCACCGGCUAACUACGUG